AACGAACGCUGGCGGCAUGCCUAACACAUGCAAGUCGAACGAGACCUUCGGGUCUAGUGGCGCACGGGUGCGUAACGCGUGGGAAUCUGCCCUUGGGUUCGGAAUAACAGUUGGAAACGACUGCUAAUACCGGAUGAUGACGUAAGUCCAAAGAUUUAUCGCCCAAGGAUGAGCCCGCGUAGGAUUAGCUGGUUGGUGAGGUAAAGGCUCACCAAGGCGACGAUGCUUAGCUGGUCUGAGAGGAUGAGCCGCCACACUGGGACUGAGACACGGCCCAGAAUCCUACGGGAGGCAGGAGAGGGGAAUAUUGGAAAAUGGGGGGAAGGCUGAACCAGCAAUGACGGGUGAGUGAUGAAGGCCUUAGGGUUGUAAAGCUCUUUUAUCCGGGACGAUAAUGACAGUACCGGGAGAAUAAGCUCCGGCUAACUCCGUG
rnacentral:rRNA from 1 species